ensembl:snRNA U6 U6 spliceosomal RNA
GAUAAUUCUGAGUUUUUGCUUAUAGUAAAAUUUGAAUGAUACAGAGAAGAUUAGCAUGGCCCUGAUAAGAAGGAUAACACACAAAUCUGUGAAGCGUUCCAUAUUUUU